GGGAAAAGACCCUUGUUUUUGGCCCCUUAUUCCUGGAAGGGCAACGUCAGCCUGUGGUGUCAGAACAUCUGACUGCAAUGGAAGCACAACCAUCCGGUUCCUCUGUGCUGAUCCUGGGUUUAGUGUUGGGUGUAUUGGCUCUGGCAUGUUCUGAUUUCCUUGGUUUCUUGUACCAGAAACAUUUAACUUCUAAUUAAACUGGCUGAAA